CGUCGUUGUGUUCGUCUCGGAUUUCAGAGGGAGCUCGUUCUUCUCGUCGGAGGUCUCGUGAGAAUCAUCAUCAUGGUGGUGGUGAACAUCUUAUCGGCGGUAUAGCUUCCGCGACAUUAGCGGUUCUUUUUAUUCUGUUCAAGUUGUUACCGUACAGUACCUGUUCUCCUACACCUUGUGGAAGUUUUACGAUUCCUGUGUAUAACCGUUUCGAGUUCUGAGAAGUAAAUAUAAAAUCACUAGGUUCUAGUGUAACUCAGGUAUCCUUUCGGUUAUGAUAAUUUUCCCCUACUCCACAACGAAUUACCAGAUGAACGAGUUUUACGAAUCACUAUAACGAGGUUUCGGGAGUUAGUGAAAGGGUAAAAGUUUAUACAGGUUUUGUGUUUCAGUUUGAGCCGGGGUGGCUUUAGAGGAUAGGCCGCGGUGGCUCAAAUAAACUGUAUCGGUGACGGUCUUUGGGAUUGUGGAGCCAGUGUGGCUAUGCCUAGAGCCAGAGUGACUCUACCGGAACGUUUGAGAGACAAAGGGAAAAAUAUUGUAAAGUCAGAGUGGCUUUACUCGCUAGCCAGUGUGGCUCAAACGAACUAGAUGAGAGACAAACGAGAAACGACUUUAACCAGAGUGGCUCAAGUGCGUUAGCCGCGGUGGCUCUACUCCAAAACGGGAUCGGGAUCGUGUAGCCAGGGUGGCUCAAGAAGGUCAGCCAGGUGGCUCUAAGGAUUGCAAGUGUAAAACUUGAUUUAGCCAGAGUGGCUCAAGAAGAUAAGCCAGUCUAGCUCAACCCAGUUUACACACAUUACCAACCUAAAACACACCUCCUAUAAAUAUGGGGAGGUGGGGAGCAGGUAUACACUCUCUCGGUAAUCUUGCACGGAUGUGAAGAUCGGAUGUAAAAGACUCUCUCUUGGUGGAUGAGUACACAACUCUAGUUCUAUAAGGUUAGGUUGGUGUUAUUAGAACUAAAGAUCGGAAGGGGUUCAACGAAAGGUGAGUUUAGUAGAAAGGUGGUAGUGAUGUUUUUUUUUAUGUGAAGAAACUACUAUGCACAAACAGUGUCAUCCAGUGUAAAAGACAGUACAUACAUGUAGGUACUGCUAAAAUACUGUAUUAGUUCUAUCAGUAUGGACACGACAGCAUCUUCACAAGGUACUGUUAUGGUUUUAAUAGUAGUGCUUUCACAAGUGAAGGUACUGCUAUUUACUGCGCAGUACCUUUACGAAAGCAGUUCCCAUUGGCUGUACACAGUAGGUGGCAUUGCCCAGCGGUAAUUCGAUGGCCCAGGCCAAAAACUAGGCUAUUGGGCAAUUGUCGGGUCUGGUUACCCCUAAAAGGUACACAUUUUAAGAGUAACCGGUUUCCUUUGUGCACAGUCGAGCAGUAACCCAGUCUAUCCACGGAUACUAUACAGCUGUGCACGCUACCGGGUUGUUACCGGGUAAAUCGAAUGUUUCCGGCGGGGCAAACUGAACCAGUUUUCAAUCGGCUGGCUGGGUACUUUUCGGACAAUUGCCAGACAAGCGUAUAUCGGGUAAAAUGCCGGGCCAUUGAGUGCUGGGCAAUCCCGGAAGGGCUUUAACCGGGUUGUCGCAGUACACCCGACAGCUUAUAUUGUGGUCGGACAAAGUGAAAGCCGGGUACAUACCGGGUGCUGCAGAAGGCCGGGUAUACUCCGUAAAACAUAGAAAUCCGGGAAAUCACCGGGUACCACUGAGACCGGGUAUUACUUGUCAUUGAAAGAAACAUGGGUAAUUGCCGGGUCCUAAGUGUACCCGGCAAAGAUCGGGCACAAUCGAAAGCCGGAUGACUGUCGGGUAUGCAAGAACCCGAGGAAAGGCCGGGAGCUAAUGAAGGCCGAGCAAUAACCGGACAAGGGGAUUACCCGGUUUAAGCCGGGCACCAAUCUUAGCCGGGCAAACACCGGACAAUUGGGCAACGCGGUAAAGGUUGGGCAGGAUAUAAGACCGGGUAAUUGCUGGGCAAUACGGACACUGUCUUAAUUCGGAAACGACAGAAGGCCGUACAAUUGCCGGGCAAUAGCACGACUGGGCUAUGGUUAAUGCAGGCAAAUGCCGGGCACACCUGGGUAAAUAGGCUGCGGGGCUCCGGGUGGCUAAGAUGCCGGGCAACCUCCGGGUAAAUAGGCUACCGGGCAUCCUCCGGGUACCUAGGAUGCCGGAUAUCGUCCGAGUUCCAAUGGUGCCAGGCAUAUACCGGGUACCAACAACGCCGGUGAUCGUUUGGUCCCUUUUUCUUCUGAUCCUUUAUUUAUUCGGGUUUUGCUUGCGAUUCGAUAAUUCCGCUAACGUGUCUAAUGUAGGUGACCCGUAGUUUCAAGCCGUGAUCACGUUUAUAUCCCUUGUGGGAUGUGAUAUGUUUUUACCGAACGACAAAAAAAGUCGGCCACCGACGUGCAAUUCUUGUUUUAAACAUAGCGUUGUUUUGUUUAAUGUUGGUGUUUUGUUUUCCUUCCAACCGUAUUUUCAAUUGUUAGACCGUCUAUUUACGUGGUGGUCUUCAAAUCUUCGAGUCAAGUAAACUGGACUGACAAUGUAAAAGUACGAUAUAACAGACUACCUCGUGGUAUUGGAAGCGGAAGUAAAGAGACUCCGAGGACUUAUUGUAUCGUUUACAGACUAUCAGACCAAAGUUUUGGUACGUAUAGAACUGCUGUAGUUUGUUACCGACAGGAACAAAGUGUUUCCCAGAGACAAUCCCCUAUCUGAACACAGACCUCGCGUCUAUAUUGUAACAAAACUCGAACGUAUAGAACUAGUACUCCGUCAAACCUGCUCUAACACAAUUGUUGGUUGGGUUAUAAUGCGUUCUUGCACUAAAACAGUGACAAUCACCUAUCCAUGACUGGGUGACGUCGUUCUCCACUGUAACGCCAAUAUCAACGGAGCAGUGGAAGUCUUCCACCGCCAAGGUGGUAAAAAAGGUAUCGAACGACUUUUCAACUCAAAAACGUAAUCAUCAUGGUCUUGUCUUCUAUAAUUCCUCCGUCGCUUUGGUUUGUUUUAUCGAAACCAGAUAUAUGUUUUGAAUAAGACCACUUGGGCACAUUUUAUAAUCAACAUAAAAUGACGUUUUAUGUAUUAUUUUGGUCCAAGGUUUGUAUACUGGUACAUGGUACCUAUUACAUAACAGAUAAAGAAGUGUAACAUAACUGUUGAUUCCUAUUUCUCUAUUUCAAAUAUUAUGCCUAUCAUACUGUGGUAAGUAUAGUGUUUUGUUGACUCUUGUCUGUUUGUCCGUUAACAUUGUAACACACCCGUUCAGGUCGUGCCUUGAUCUAAUAUCUAGUUCCAGUUUCCUUGUAGUGAGUAGAGAAAAUUUGGAACAUUCCACGUUACUAUGCGAUUCUAUUAACACAUAUUUUAACUUUUCUCAUUAUCUAUAACCGACGUUUGGUACGUCAAGUUACGUGCUCAGUCUCAUUCAUCAUCAAUUUUCCGUACUCCUAAUUCCUGAAUGUUGUUACCGAAACUGACCACACAGUACGGGAAGCAGAACGACCACACUGUCAGGAACUUCUAAAGGUGUCGUAAACCAAGUCCAUGAAAAACCAGGAACGCCCGAAAGGAGACGUAAACCUUGUUCAGUUAUAUCUAGACUAUUAUACCGUGUUGCUUUUCUCACUUUGCCGUCGAUUAAUGUUCUCGGAGCGUCACACGUUAUAUCGAUGCUAUAGGACAGCAGACAACCUUAAAGUGAAAGCAUGCCAACCGGAACAAGAAACUUGUCAAGUGGAUGUACUUCUAUCUAAACGCUCCGUGUACGCAUUUAUCCUCAAGUUGUACACUAGACUAGUGUAUGUAUAUUGCAUGAACUAUGAAACCUAGUCUGGUCACAAAUUGCUCCGGAGAGGUCAGAAGUAGGCUAUAUAAAAGGUGACCUCUACAAACCCGUUCAAGUGACAAUCGGAACGGAAGUUUCACUCAAAAGGAGUCAAUAUGGUUAUGACAGCGUCUCGUCUGAACUUUUGUACCCACGUUCGAACAGACCAACGUAGUAGAACCGAUAGGUUGAACUUGGAGUAGACAACUUUUAAUACCCCCAGAGUAAUAGUUGUUGGAUCUUUCAUACCCUGUCUCGUUCUGCUAUAAUGAUCAAAGGUAUGUAUUCGUAUGAAUAUCUAUUACCAGCUCCUUCCACAACUUGACCCAAAGCAGAAACAGUAAGGACAUGACUUAGGUACAACCCUCAUAUGCACGUACUGUGGAUUGCCGUUGGCGACGGAGAUUAUCAUUGAACUGACUGAAACAUCGUAGUGCACCGGAAAAAUUUGGAUGGAGUUUUGCCUAGAGGUAAGAAGGAGGAGAUCUAAAUCAAUUGGGUAGCUCGUAAUAGGGACUACAAACAAAGGAGAACACGGAUCCACGAUCAGAUUGUUGCUUGCACCCUUCACAAUCACAUGUAGUUUGACACUCUGAUGUAUAUUUCUUCGUACGUUGACAUUGAACUGAGGUCGUUGAUGGAAGAACGACAACUUCGAGUGUUCCAAGUAGACUAGAACGGUUGAGCAGAACACAGUUCUCACGAAGCCUUCAUUACAGUCCACCGUUCCCUCGAACCCUUGCACGACGAUCGACUCAACUGUUUGCUCAUUGAGCACGUCGACCACCAUGACACCUUCCACAACGUUGUUGAUCCCAACAGAGACGAACAAACCACCGUCGAUAAUCAAAGAUAAACCGAACAAAACGUCGAGCACAUCGUGCCCUAUGGCACAAACAUGUUAAAAGGCGACCUGAAACUGGAAGAUAACGUGGUAGUCAUGGCCGUCUUGGACGUAUUAAGAAGGCGAAGGCAAAGACACACAUGAAUCAUGAUUGUGGUAGGGGACAGUAAGACACAAGGAAGGAGAAAGAGACACGGUACAAUUCAGU
rnacentral:rRNA from 1 species